rnacentral:lncRNA from 1 species
UCGGGGCUGGAGAGGAGAGGUCCGCAGUAAGUGGCCGGCCAGUGGCGGGCUACUGAAGAAGAACGUAGGGCAGGGAUCCCCUCCUGGCGCAGCGGAGGUUGGAAGACUGGGCAAGAAAACAUGGUUUGGGGGCCGGACUCGGAAGCAAAGGUGUUAGGGACACAGGGAGAGACUGAGGGAGAAGAUUGUGGCUUGAGAGUAAGGAGAGACUGAAACUGCCUUGUAAACCGCAGGGCAGGUGCUGAGGGUCGUGGUGGUGGGCUGAUACUCUGGGGACUGGGGAAGCACUCUGGGGUCAGGAAGGAGACUCUGAGGCGAGAAGGGAGUCAGCUGAAUAGAAAGAAGACAGAAAUUGGAAUCAGGCUACCCCAGAGCAGAAUGGUCUUCCCUUCUAACUUGUAACCCUUUCCUAAGGGUUGGGCUGGGCUCAGGGCAUCCUAUACCCAAUGCAGUGGAGUUACUACUAGCCACUGCUCUAACAGAUGGAAGGGCUGUCCCUUUCCUAAACCUCUUUCAACUUGGUUAUUUCCUCCUUUUCAUAUUUCUUCUUGUUGUUGUUGCUGUUUUUAUUUCUUUGUUGUUCCUUUCUAGGUAGUGGGAGGCAUAGUUUUUGGCAAUAGCCAGCCAAGGAUACAGGGAACAGGUGCGGCGCCUGCACGCUGACUUCACGUGGUGGAUGUCUGGCUGAGAGAGAAGUAGGAAAUCCUCACAACGCUUCUUCCAGCUUUGAUCUGCCUGGGGCAGCCCGUGGUGGAAGAUGACUCUGUAGCCCUGGUGUCUACCAGUAUCCGGAGUGGGAGCCCCAAGAGCCAUGUAGACAGGCACCCAGCACUGUGCCAGGGUUUCCCCAGACCACCAGGAUACACGGAGGCCAACGGCAGCUGUGGCAGAAGAGGGCAAGACCAUACCUGGAACCAGCACUGUUGUGUGGCUUCACAGGCAUGCAAAAUGCAGGAGUUACAAGGUCGAGGAGACUUGCACCAGUGUUCCCGAAAGCUCCGCAGGCCAGCUAUGUGGGAGUUGGCUGGCUCUGGGGACGAGCUGUUGGCAGUGCAGGUGGCUGGCGACAAGGAUGGAGUGUGAGGCCUCGAGACAGGAUGGCAGGCAGCACAGAAGCCUCCGCACUCAGCAGAGCUGCGGUCCUGGCUGCUCUGAGGGUAAGUAGAAAGUGUCUGGUUUCCUGCGUGUCUGAGGCACACUGGCCUCUUCCUCCAGCCUGGCUGCUGCUUUUCAGGCCCCCAACGCUUGUGGCUUUAAAUCUGAGUAAGUCACAAUCCCUGACUUCUUUCUCUGUAGUUCUGCCAAAAUGAAAAGGUGCCCCCCAAUACAGUUUCCACUCUGCAACUCUACUCAAACCCAGAGCCGACCCUGAGGAACCUGCUUGGUCCCAGACUUCCCUCCCACCCUGUGGGAACAGUAUUUUCUGCAAACCCAACCUUGUGGGCUAAGGCUUUUGACUCCUCUAGCUUCUCACAGACUGGGAGGCAGUGCCUUCCUCGGGGCUGGGGUGGGAGGUACAACAGUCGGCCAGCUCAGGAAGUUCUUCUAGGGUUCGCCUCUGUGGCUGAAGCAAGACUGGGAGUGGGAGAAAAAAGCAGAGACUGCACUGGGCUCUGGCUCCAGAGGCCCCCAGGUGCUCUGAGAGCCGGUCUCCUUUGGGACCAGGACCAGGAGGGUAAAUUGAGUCCACAGUUCCCGCCUCAGGAAUCCUUCUGUAAGACCUCUGACAUCACAGACAAAGGAAGCCCAACUGCCAAACGCAGACUUUGCCUUGGGCAACUAAAUUUAUUAGCAAGAAACUUUUUGUCAGCCCAGUACUGACCAACAAAAUACAUCGUUAAUAAAGGAUAACAAAUCUUCACUUAAUUAAUAAAACAUCCUCAAGCAGUUACAACGAAAA